GCACUUGGAGUCCGGACAUCUGAAACUUGAAUUGACAAGCCGACAUCAGUCUCCAGAGUGAAUCCAAGGAGUGGACCCAAGACAUUUGUGUUCUGUGAUGUGGUGGCAUGUUACCUGUCAUCUCCGAUGCAUAACUCCUAAAGUGCGUCUGGGGCAGUUGUACAGAUUGCAGAGGAUAAUACUCAAGAUGUUCUCCAAGGCCAACUAGUCAUCAGUUUAUUCAUGUUUCUGGGAUUGGAUUCAUGAACUCAUCCUUUGAACUAUUUCAACAAGCUUUUUCAUGUAACUAAUCUGCGGAAGGUAGAAAGGGGAAAACUGUUGGGUGCUAAAAUGACAACUGGUUCAAGACCCAAGUAGGUGUUCACAGUCAGUCCUGCAGGAAGAGAUUAGAGGAUCUAGUUACCCAGGGAUCAUCUCCAUUCCUUCCAACUGAAAGGGAAACAAACAAGGAGGAGCACGCCUGGGGAGGUUUUCACAGGCCAGGACUGGAAAUGCACAUUUCUCUUUUCCUCACAUUCCAAGCUCCCAAGAUGGUGGUGGGCCACUUCCAAGAUGGUGGCAAGAGUCGUAUUCUCUGACCUGGGGUUCUUGGUCUCAUGGAUUCCAAGGAAUGGAAUCUUGCGCCAUGUGGAGAAGCGUCAGAUAAUUAGGCAGCAGUCCAACAAUUAGGUUUUGUGGAACUUUUACUAUGUCAUCUAUUUAUUGGAAUUCCCCCUGGAUACCAGGACCCCCUCCAGCAGAGCUUAAAGUUAUAGUUACAGGAAGUACAAAUUCCUUAUGUGGAUCCCUGGAAGUGUGAUGAGAAGAACCACUGUUUCCAAGAUCUAUUUAUUCUAUUUAUCAGGCCUAUAAAAUCAUGUAAUGGCCAUGGCUUCAACUAGACUCC
rnacentral:lncRNA from 10 species